rnacentral:rRNA from 1 species
AGUGAACGUUGGCGGUAGGCCUAACACAUGCAAGUCGAACGGCAGCACAGUAAGAGCUUGCUCUUACGGGUGGCGAGUGGCGGACGGGUGAGGAAUACAUCGGAAUCUACUUUUUCGUGGGGGAUAACGUAGGGAAACUUACGCUAAUACCGCAUACGACCUACGGGUGAAAGCAGGGGAUCUUCGGACCUUGCGCGACUGAAUGAGACGAUGUCGGAUUAGCUAGUUGGCGGGGUAAAGGCCCACCAAGGCGACGAUCCGUAGCUGGUCUGAGAGGAUGAUCAGCCACACUGGAACUGAGACACGGUCCAGACUCCUACGGGAGGCAGCAGUGGGGAAUAUUGGACAAUGGGCGCAAGCCUGAUCCAGCCAUACCGCGUGGGUGAAGAAGGCCUUCGGGUUGUAAAGCCCUUUUGUUGGGAAAGAAAAGCAGCAGGUUAAUACCCCGCUGUUCUGACGGUACCCAAAGAGUAAGCACCGGCUAACUUCGUG